UCGCGGCCUAUCAGCUUGUUGGUGGGGUAAUGGCCUACCAAGGCGACGACGGGUAACCGGCCUGAGAGGGCGACCGGUCACACUGGGACUGAGACACGGCCCAGACUCCUACGGGAGGCAGCAGUGGGGAAUAUUGCGCAAUGGGCGAAAGCCUGACGCAGCAACGCCGCGUGAGGGAUGAAGUACGUCGAGAUGUAAACCUCUUUCAGCAGGGACGAAGCGAAAGUGACGGUACCUGCAGAGGAAGCGCCGGCUAACUACGUGCCAGCAGCCGCGGUAAUACGUAGGGCGCAAGCGUUGUCCGGAUUUAUUGGGCGUAAAGGGCUCGUAGGCGGUCUGUCACGUCGGAUGUGAAAACUCAGUGCUUAACACUGGGCCUGCAUUCGAUACGGGCAGACUAGAGUUCGGUAGGGGAGACUGGAACUCCUGGUGUAGCGGUGGAAUGCGCAGAUAUCAGGAAGAACACCGAUGGCGAAGGCAGGUCUCUGGGCCGAUACUGACGCUGAGGAGCGAAAGCGUGGGGAGCGAACAGGAUUAGAUACCCUGGUAGUCCACGCCGUAAACGGUGGGCACUAGGUGUGGGAGACUAUCUACGUUUUCCGCGCCGCAGCUAACGCAUUAAGUGCCCCGCCUGGGGAGUACGG
rnacentral:rRNA from 1 species